AGUGAACGCUGGCGGUAGGCCUAACACAUGCAAGUCGAACGGCAGCACAGGAGAGCUUGCUCUCUGGGUGGCGAGUGGCGGACGGGUGAGGAAUACAUCGGAAUCUACUCUGUCGUGGGGGAUAACGUAGGGAAACUUACGCUAAUACCGCAUACGACCUACGGGUGAAAGCAGGGGACCUUCGGGCCUUGCGCGAUUGAAUGAGCCGAUGUCGGAUUAGCUAGUUGGCGGGGUAAGGGCCCACCAAGGCGACGAUCCGUAGCUGGUCUGAGAGGAUGAGCAGCCACACUGGAACUGAGACACGGUCCAGACUCCUACGGGAGGCAGCAGUGGGGAAUAUUGGACAAUGGGCGCAAGCCUGAUCCAGCCAUACCGCGUGGGUGAAGAAGGCCUUCGGGUUGUAAAGCCCUUUUGUUGGGAAGGAAAUCCAGCUGGCUAAUACCCGGUUGGGAUGACGGUACCCAAAGAAUAAGCACCGGCUAACUUCGUGCCAGCCGCCGCAGUAA
rnacentral:rRNA from 1 species